GGCGGGAACAUUCAGUCUGGAUGUCGGGUCGCAAGCUGAGCAUGCUUUAUGGUUCCCGUGACGGGGCCGGCUCGGCUUAGCGUCCAGGCAAACUGACGCAUUUGUUUCCCGCCCAAAGGACGCCGCAACCGGUUGGUGGACGGUCUUAAGGGCGAGAGCUGGCAGGUGACCGGCGGCGUGCACUGGUGUGUCGCCGGUUGUUAGCCUUCUCGCAGGACGGCCCGUUCGCCGACCGUGGCAAUAAAGAGGCCCGGCUGGGCUUCGUCGUCUCCUCCCAUGGCUAGCGAGUAAAGAAGCGUCGCAAGAGUUCGGGUGCAGUGUUUCCACACGAAGCGAGUUCGUGGCCACACGCUGCCUCGUCUCUGUUGGCUUGAUGCAAGGCUCGCGGGAGUGACUGACGGUUAGCGGCGAGUAGAUCGGUCACCCACCCGACCCGUCUUGAAACACGGACCAAGGAGUAU
rnacentral:rRNA from 1 species